rnacentral:rRNA from 1 species
UACGUAGGGUGCAAGCGUUGUCCGGAAUUAUUGGGCGUAAAGAGCUUGUAGGCGGUUUGUCGCGUCUGCUGUGAAAACUCGGGGCUUAACUCCGGGCCUGCAGUGGGUACGGGCAGACUAGAGUGCGGUAGGGGAGACUGGAAUUCCUGGUGUAGCGGUGAAAUGCGCAGAUAUCAGGAGGAACACCGGUGGCGAAGGCGGGUCUCUGGGCCGUAACUGACGCUGAGGAGCGAAAGCGUGGGAGCGAACAGG